rnacentral:rRNA from 1 species
UACAGAGGGUGCGAGCGUUAAUCGGAAUUACUGGGCGUAAAGGGCGCGUAGGUGGUUAGAUAAGUUGGAUGUGAAAUCCCUGGGCUUAACCUAGGAACUGCAUACAAUACUGUUUAACUGGAGUGCAGUAGAGGGUAGUGGAAUUUCCGGUGUAGCGGUGAAAUGCGUAGAUAUCAAGUGGAACACCAGUGGCGAAGGCGAGUCUCUGGACAUUUCCUGACGCUGAGGCACGAAAGCCAGGGGAGCAAACGGG